rnacentral:rRNA from 1 species
GACGAACGCUGGCGGCGUGCCUAAUACAUGCAAGUCGAGCGAAGAGACGAGGUGCUUGCACCUCUUUCAUUAGCGGCGAACGGGUGAGUAACACGUGGAUAACCUACCUUUAAGACUGGGAUAACUUCGGGAAACCGGAGCUAAUACCGCAUAACAACUUGAACCAUAUGUUUUAAUAGUGAAAGACGCUUUUGCUUCAACUUAUAAAUGGCCCCCGUUCGAUUAAGCUAGUGGGGAGGGUAACGGUUUACCAGGGCAACGAUGCGUAGCCGACCUGAGAGGGGGAUCGGCCACACUGGAACUGAGACACGGUCCAGACUCCUCCGGGGGGAAGCAGUAGGGAAUCUUCGGCAAUGGGGAAAGGCCUGACGGAGCACGGCGGGGUGGUGAAGGAAGGUCUUCGAAUCUUAAAACCUUGUUGUAAGGGAAGACGAAAGGUGGAGUUGACAGUGCACGACGUGACGGUACCUAAUCAGAAAGCGACGGCUAACUACGUG